GAAGUGUAUCUCAGAGAUGACAUUUACUGUGGAGCUUCAUUUUGUAAAGUAUGCGAUACCUCUGCUGCUCGCUUGACUGCUUCUGCUUCCACUAUCCUUGUUCUUGACACUAAUGUUGUUCUCAAUCAGAUUGAUUUGCUUGAGAAUCCAGCUAUUGAAGAUGUGGUUGUGUUAUCAGUUGUACUUCAAGAGGUGAAGAACAAGAAUAGUGCUAUUUAUAAUAGAAUUCGUGCCCUCUGCAG
rnacentral:misc_RNA from 1 species